rnacentral:rRNA from 1 species
UACGUAGGUGGCAAGCGUUGUCCGGAUUUACUGGGUGUAAAGGGCGUGUAGCCGGGUUGACAAGUCAGAUGUGAGAUCCUGCGGCUUAACCGCAGAACUGCAUUUGAAACUGUUGAUCUUGAGUACUGGAGAGGCAGACGGAAUUCCUAGUGUAGCGGUGAAAUGCGUAGAUAUUAGGAGGAACACCAGUGGCGAAGGCGGUCUGCUGGACAGCAACUGACGGUGAGGCGCGAAAGCGUGGGGAGCAAACAGG